rnacentral:rRNA from 1 species
GCAACUGCGUGCCAGAAGUGGGAGGAAAGCGUGGUGGGGUGGGGUUGUGCGGAAGUAGUUGGGGUAAAGGGGUCGUGGGCGGUGGGUGUCGUCGUCCGUGAAAACUUGCAGCUCAAGUGUGGGCGUGCGGUCGAUACGGGCAUCACUGGAGUUCGGCAGGGGAGACUGGAAGUCCUGGUGUAGCGGGGAAAUGCGCAGAUAUCAGGAGGAACACCGGUGGCGAAGGCGGGUCUCUGGGCCGAUACUGACGCUGAGGAGCGAAAGCGUGGGGAGCGAACAGGAUUAGAUACCCUAGUAGUC